AUUGAACGCUGGCGGCAGGCUUAACACAUGCAAGUCGAGCGGAGACUUCGGUCUUAGCGGCGAACGGGUGAGGAAUGCCUGGGAAUCUGCCUGGUAGUGGGGGAUAACGUUCCGAAAGGAACGCUAAUACCGCAUACGUCCUACGGGAGAAAGCAGGGGACCUUCGGGCCUUGCGCUAUCAGAUGAGCCCAGGUCGGAUUAGCUAGUAGGUGAGGUAAAGGCUCACCUAGGCGACGAUCCGUAGCUGGUCUGAGAGGAUGAUCAGCCACACUGGAACUGAGACACGGUCCAGACUCCUACGGGAGGCAGCAGUGGGGAAUAUUGGACAAUGGCGAAAGCCUGAUCCAGCCAUGCCGCGUGUGUGAGAAGGCUCGGUGUAAG
rnacentral:rRNA from 1 species